AUUGAACGCUGGCGGCAGGCCUAACACAUGCAAGUCGAGCGGAUGAAGGGAGCUUGCUCCUGGAUUCAGCGGCGGACGGGUGAGUAAUGCCUAGGAAUCUGCCUGGUAGUGGGGGAUAGCGUCCGGAAACGGGCGCUAAUACCGCAUACGUCCUGAGGGAGAAAGUGGGGGAUCUUCGGACCUCACGCUAUCAGAUGAGCCUAGGUCGGAUUAGCUAGUUGGUGGGGUAAAGGCCUACCAAGGCGACGAUCCGUAACUGGUCUGAGAGGAUGAUCAGUCACACUGGAACUGAGACACGGUCCAGACUCCUACGGGAGGCAGCAGUGGGGAAUAUUGGACAAUGGGCGAAAGCCUGAUCCAGCCAUGCUGCGUGUGUGAAGAAGGUCUUCGGAUUGUAAAGCACUUUAAGUUGGGAGGAAGGGCAGUAAGUUAAUACCUUGCUGUUUUGACGUUACCAACAGAAUAAGCACCGGCUAACUUCGUG
rnacentral:rRNA from 1 species